CUCUUCCCUCUCCCCUUCUUUCCUCUCUCCCUCUUUUCUCCUCCUCUUUUCCUCCCUCCCUCCCCUCCCCCUCCUCUCUCUUCCCUGUCUUCUUCUUUCCUCUCCCCCCUCUCCUCUCUCUCUAGCUUUUCCUCUCCCCCUUCUCCCUCUUCUCUCCCUCCUUUCUCCUCCUUUUUUCCUCCCUCCCCCUCCUCUCUCUUCUCUGUCUUCUUUCCUCUCUCCCCCUUCUCCCUCUUCUCUCUCCUCUUUCUUUUCUUUCCUCUCUCUUCUCCCUCCCCCCUCUCUUCCCUGUCUUCUUCUUUCCUCUCUCCCCUUCUCCCUCUUCUCUCUCCUUUCUUUUCUUUCCCCUCUCUUCUCCCUCCCCCCUCUCUUCCCUGUCUUCUCUUUCCUCUCUCCCCCUUCUCCCUCUUCUCUCUCCUUUCUUUUCUUUCCCCUCUCUUCUCCCUCCCCCUCUCUCUUCCCUGUCUUCUUCUUUCCUCUCUCCCCCUUCUCCCUCUUCUUUCCUCUUUCUUUUCUCCCUCCCCUCCCUCUCCUCCCUCUUCCCUGUCUUCUUCUUUCCUCUCUCCCCCUCUUCUCUCUAGCCUUUCCUCUCCCCCUUCUCCUUCUUCUCUCCCUCUUUUCUUUCCUCCCUCCCCACCCCUUUCCCUCCCCUCUCCACCUCACUUGCCCUCUCUCCUCCUCACUCCUCUUCCCUCUCCUCCCUUCUCUCCUCUCCCCUCCUCUCUCUAAUCUCUUACCCCCUCCUCUCUCCUCCCUGUCUUCUCUCCCCUUCCCCUUUCCACUCUUCUCCCUCCUCCUCUUCUUUUCUCCCCUGUCCCCCCUCCGUCCUCCUCUUCUUAUUCUUUUUCUCCCUACUCUAUUUUCUCCCCUCAUUUCUUCCCUCCCUCCCCUCCCCUUUUCUACUCUCCCCUCUUUUGUCCUCUCUCAAGCUUUUCCUUUCCCCCUUUUCUCUGUCUUUUCUCUCCUCUCUCUAGCCUUUCCUCUCCCCCUUCUCACUAUAGUCUCCCUCUUCUCUCCUCCUUCUUUUCUUUCCUCCCUCCCUCUCCUCCUCUUUCCUCCCUCCCCUUCUCCUGUCUCCUCUCUUCUUCCCUCUCUUCCUCUUUUCUUUCCCCUUUCUUCCCUCUCUCUUUCCUCCAUCCUUUCUCCCUCUCCCUCUCUCUCCAUCUCCUUCUCAUUCAUUUAUCUCUUCUUCUACUCUUUCCCCUGAGGUGUUCCAUGCUUCAGCGUUCCCAGUGAGUGGAGCUGGAUGCAGGCCUGAGGGAUUCUCCUCCUGCCUUGGUGGCCCUGCCCUCCCC
rnacentral:lncRNA from 1 species